rnacentral:rRNA from 1 species
GACGAACGCUGGCGGCGUGCCUAAUACAUGCAAGUAGAACGCUGAGGGAAGGAGCUUGCUCUUUCCGGAUGAGUUGCGAACGGGUGAGUAACGCGUAGGUAACCUGCCUGGUAGCGGGGGAUAACUAUUGGAAACGAUAGCUAAUACCGCAUAACAGUAGAUAUCGCAUGAUAGCUGCUUGAAAGGUGCAAUUGCACCACUAUCAGAUAGACCUGCGUUGUAUUAGCUAGUUGGUGAGGUAACGGCUCACCAAGGCAACGAUACAUAGCCGACCUGAGAGGGUGAUCGGCCACACUGGGACUGAGACACGGCCCAGACUCCCACGGGAGGCAGCAGUAGGGAAUCUUCGGCAAUGGGGGCAACCCUGACCGAGCAACGCCGCGUGAGUGAAGAAGGUUUUCGGAUCGUAAAGCUCUGUUGUAAGUCAAGAACGAGUGUGAGAGUGGAAAGUUCACACUGUGACGGUAGCUUACCAGAAAGGGACGGCUAACUACGUGCCAGCAGCCGCGGUAAUACGUAGGUCCCGAGCGUUGUCCGGAUUUAUUGGGCGUAAAGCGAGCGCAGGCGGUUUGAUAAGUCUGAAGUUAAAGGCUGUGGCUCAACCAUAGUUCGCUUUGGAAACUGUCAAACUUGAGUGCAGAAGGGGAGAGUGGAAUUCCAUGUGUAGCGGUGAAAUGCGUAGAUAUAUGGAGGAACACCGGUGGCGAAAGCGGCUCUCUGGUCUGUAACUGACGCUGAGGCUCGAAAGCGUGGGGAGCGAACAGG